UGGGGAAUAUUGGACAAUGGGGGGAACCCUGAUCCAGCCAUGCCGCGUGUGUGAAGAAGGCCUUUUGGUUGUAAAGCACUUUAAGCGAGGAGGAGGCUACCUAGAUUAAUACUUUAGGAUAGUGGACGUUACUCGCAGAAUAAGCACCGGCUAACUCUGUGCCAGCAGCCGCGGUAAUACAGAGGGUGCGAGCGUUAAUCGGAUUUACUGGGCGUAAAGCGUGCGUAGGCGGCCAAUUAAGUCAAAUGUGAAAUCCCCGAGCUUAACUUGGGAAUUGCAUUCGAUACUGGUUGGCUAGAGUAUGGGAGAGGAUGGUAGAAUUCCAGGUGUAGCGGUGAAAUGCGUAGAGAUCUGGAGGAAUACCGAUGGCGAAGGCAGCCAUCUGGCCUAAUACUGACGCUGAGGUACGAAAGCAUGGGGAGCAAACAGGAUUAGAUACCCUGGUAGUCCAUGCCGUAAACGAUGUCUACUAGCCGUUGGGGCCCUUGAGGCUUUAGUGGCGCAGCUAACGCGAUAAGUAGACCGCC
rnacentral:rRNA from 1 species